rnacentral:misc_RNA from 1 species
UCUCCGUUGGUGAACCAGCGGAGGGAUCAUUACAGAGUUGCAAAACUCCCAAACCAUUGUGAACGUUACCUAUCCCGUUGCUUCGGCGGGCGGCCCGGGCCCCGCGCCCGGCGCCCCCCGGCCCCCCGUGGGCGCCCGCCGGAGGUAAACCAAACCCUUGAAUUGCAUGGCCUCUCUGAGUCUUCUGUACUGAAUAAGUUAAAACUUUUAACAACGGAUCUCUUGGUUCUG